GCAAACUUGGUCAUUUAGAGGAAGUAAAAGUCGUAACAAGGUAACCGUAGGUGAACCUGCGGUUGGAUCAUUAAUAAAUAUUUGGUCUCGUGCCAAAUCAACAUUUGUGUGCACCAUUGUCUGUCCUUGGUAGUUCGAGUUGCGCUCUUGAGGGACUCAACAUCCCGCGAGCGCCUACCCUUAUGCUUGCGUUCGGGUUGGGCUACCGCCAUUUUGAAAAACCUAACUGUUUUGUUUUUUAUGUCUGAAUGAAAAGUUAAUCUUAUGAUUAAUGAUUUUUAUACAACUUUUGACAACGGAUCUCUUGGCUCUCGCAUCGAUGAAGAACGCAGC
rnacentral:misc_RNA from 1 species